rnacentral:rRNA from 1 species
GCAGCCGCGGGAAUACGUAGGUGGCAAGCGUUGUCCGGAAUUAUUGGGCGUAAAGGGCUCGCAGGCGGUUUCUUAAGUCUGAUGUGAAAGCCCCCGGCUCAACCGGGGAGGGUCAUUGGAAACUGGGAAACUUGAGUGCAGAAGAGGAGAGUGGAAUUCCACGUGUAGCGGUGAAAUGCGUAGAGAUGUGGAGGAACACCAGUGGCGAAGGCGACUCUCUGGUCUGUAACUGACGCUGAGGAGCGAAAGCGUGGGGAGCGAACAGGAUUAGAUACCCGAGUAGUCCCUGUCUCUUAUACACA